GUAAACUUCCAAAAUUUACUGUGUAAUUGACUUUUUUCUUGGUGUUUCUUUUGAGUUCUUUGGUUGUUAAAUGUUAAUUGGCUUUUAUUUGAAUUGGAUUUUUAUAUUUUGUUUCUGGGUUUUCAUUUUGGUUGGUAAUAGUUUUCUGGGAAAUGGAAAAAAGUAGCUGAGUUUUCUGUGCUUUAUAUAUUGAUUGAAGAAAGAUUGGUACUUUAAGUGCUCAGAUUUUAGUUUGUUAGCAAAAGUUGUUUUAUUUUUGUUUUUAAUUAAUUAGAAGGUGUUUGUUUUGUUGGAAACUUGGUUAGUUUUCACUUGGAAAGAUUAUAAAAAAUUUUCUCUUUCUGGGUUUGGGCUGUUUCAUUUUUGAGGCUGGUUCUGGUUUUUCAUAAAAUAACAGGCAGUCAUCAGGAGCAAAAAUUGUUUUCUUUGAUCCUGGAAUGUUUAAGUGGGUUGAAUAUUUUGUUCUCUUCAAUUAGGAAAUAUUGAAUGGUAUUGUUGAGCCAAGCGUUCAAUUUGUUAAGCUUUGCAUCGAUUGUAAUUGUUACAUAUUGCAGCUUUCUCAAGCAGGUAGCAGAUGUUGAUUAACUUUUGGAAAUCUCAGGAUUCUAAGAGUGAAAAUUUGAUUUAGUUCACAAAAAGAGAAAAGUUAUCAUGAGUAUUAAGUCAAAAUACACUGGAUCAAAAUUUUCAGUUAUAGAUUUGGAUUUAGGUUGCUUUUGUUUAGGAAACUUAUGUCUGCAGCUCAUGCAAAACUUCUAUAGAAUUAUGAUUUGAGGAUAUGGUUUUGCCUUUGCAGUUUUUCUUUCUCGGGUUUGUUAAUGAGUGAUCAUUGAAACCAAAAAUUAAUUGUGUGGUGCAGGAUAUAGGAAUUAUACAAUUAAUAUGUCUUUGUCAUGCAUUUUAUAUAAUUGGACAAAUUUUCAACAUCGUUGAUCAAGCUGCUUUUGGAUUGCUGACCAAGAAAUCGUAAACUAAUUCUAUUGUAGGACUUCUGAGGGAUUUUUUAACUUGUUAAUUAUUUAACUUUUUAGAAUAUGCAUAUAACUAUAAACCUUCUAUAUUACUGUUUACCAUUUGCAGUAGAUUGUCUGCCAACAAAUUAUAGACUGAUUCUUAAUGUUUAUCAAAGCUAGACUAUACGCAUAGCUUUAGCUCUUCAAUUUGGAUUUCUCUCUCUCUCUUUCUUACCAGCUUUGUUUGUCAACUACAAUAUGUGAACAUAUAUAACUUAACUUUUCUUUGCAUUGUUUUUGCAGGUCAAUUUUGUUUUCCUGAAGGUAUAAUUUCUAUAGUGUUGAAGUUUCUUGUAGUCCUUGUGACAAAGGGGUUGACAAUCCCGUUCUAAGCUGCUGAUAAAUUUUCUGUGAUCUCUUCAUCACGUUGGAAAGCUGAUGCCAAACUCAUAGCAUGGACUCACACCCGCUUUUCGGAUUGUACGGUGUGACUGGUGCGGGCCUAUCCUACUCAACCUCUUGUUCAACUGUUCCUUCAUUUCCUAACAAGUUGUUUAGUUCUUUGAAAUCUGACAUAGGAAACUCACCGAACUCACCCUUUUCAACUCAAUUUGAUUGUGAUACCAACACCACACUGAGUGACAGCCAGGAGCAGCAUAGCUCCACUGAGAAUCUCUCAGGACUCAGCCCUUCUUGUAACUCUUCACUUGAAUCUAACAUUUAUUUCCAUCGAUUGAGUCCCUCUCUGGACUGCAGGCGUGAAAGCUUACCUCUCUGUUCUGGUGGAACUUCUUAUAUACAAGAUGCAAAUUCUAGCCACAAAGUAAUAUACACUUUGCAGGAAUUAGAGACCACACUCAUGGCACCUGAUGAGGAUGAAGAAGUAACCACCUCAAGUGUUUCCUGUGGAGAAAGUAGUAGACCACAGACAACUGACCAGCGAUCUAGGGCAUGGAGUCAGGAGUGCCAAGCAUCUCUGGUGCUUCAG
rnacentral:lncRNA from 1 species